UACGGAGGUGGCGAGCGUUGUCCGGAUUUACUGGGCGUAAAGGGAGCGUAGGCGGACUUUUAAGUGAGAUGUGAAAUACUCGGGCUCAACUUGAGUGCUGCAUUUCAAACUGGAAGUCUAGAGUGCAGGAGAGGAGAAUGGAAUUCCUAGUGUAGCGGUGAAAUGCGUAGAGAUUAGGAAGAACACCAGUGGCGAAGGCGAUUCUCUGGACUGUAACUGACGCUGAGGCUCGAAAGCGUGGGGAGCAAACAGG
rnacentral:rRNA from 1 species